AGAACUUUACCUUUCUAAAAAGGAACGUUACCUUAGUUGCGGCUAGGUUUCUUCUCCGUUCUUUCAGUCUGGCACCGAGAACAGUAAAUUACAUUACUGUAGUUUUCUUUGAUUGCUCUCCGCCUAUUAAGUUGAUCGCUGCUCAUCGUCAAAGAAUGGAGUCUGGUUCCGGAAGCAAUUCCCAAGUUCGUAAAGGAAAAUGGUGUUCGUCAAUAAAAUUGUGCUGCCUCUUUGAGGGUAUCUGCUUCUACUCUAACAGAAACCUUCCAGUGUUUUAAGUGAUUUCGAGGCACUCAGGAGAAGGUAGUCUUUUACUUUAACAGAGAAGCGUAUCACAUUAUUCUUAUCACAAGCUUGUUGUACAACAUGGAUAAAAGUGGGAUAAAAACUGGAAAUCAAGCAUCGCAACCAGAAUGAAGACUUAUCUGGAAACUUAUCUGGUUGGAAUACAAGAGAUUAUGAAAGGAGACUACAACCAGAAUUGUUUGAUGGGCAUAUUGAAGAAGAAUUACGUCUUGAGCAAUUGUCUGGAAGUGAUAUACUUGAGCAAGUGAAUCAAUUUGAAGAAUAUAUAUUUGGUAAUAGUGUGAAAGAAAGGAAACGUGCUAAAAACUGGUUGAAGAAAAGUUUAUUCUUUGAGUUACCUUAUUGGGGCACAUUAAUGUUGCGACAUAAUUUAGAUGUCAUGCACAUUGAAAGAAAUAUUUGUGAAAAUAUGAUUGGUACGCUAUUGAAUAUUAAGGGGAGGACAAAAGAUAACUUGAAGUCUCGUCUUGAUCUCCAGCAAAUGGGAAUAAGAACAAAAUUGCAUCCAGUACAACAUGAAAACAAAUGGCACCUAGCAGCUUCAUGUUGUACAUUAUCUUUAGAUGAGAAAAAUGCAUUUUGUGAGUACUUCAACACAUUAAAGGUUCCAGAUGGAUUCUCUUCUACUAUUGGGGGGUGUGUUAAUCUAAAAGGAAGAAAAAUAUUUGGUCUUAAAAGUCAUGACUAUCAUGUUAUUAUGGAAUAUUUGCUCCCAUAUGCAUUGCAAGGAUUGAUGAAGAAGGAUGUACGAGACGUAUUGAUUGACUUGAGCAAUUUUUUUAAGACAUUGUGCUCCAAAGUGGUUAAAGUUGAUGAUAUAAAAAUUAUCGAGGAUGAAAUUAUAAGGAUUCUCUGUAGAAUGGAAAUGAUGUUCCCACCAUCAUUUUUUGAUGUAAUGGUGCAUCUAUUAGUUCAUUUGCCAAAUGAAGUUAGAAUUUCUGGAUCAGUUCAAUAUAGGUGGAUGUACCCAUUUGAAAGGUACUUAAGUAAGCUAAAGGCUUAUGUGCGCAAUCGAGCUCAUCCUGAAGAAUCUAUAGCAGAAGGUUAUAUUGCACCAGAUAUUUUCAUACCAUUGAAACUAAGUUCAAUAAAAUGAGAAGAAAUGAAGACAAUGAUCAUAGUUCAUAUGAUGGAUUGUCUAUUUUUAAACCAGUUGGUCGUCCUAUGCGAUCAGGUAAACAAUCAAGAAGGCUAACAGUAGAAGAGUGGAGACAAGCACAUCUUUAUAUUUUAAAGAAUUGUGAUGACGUCCUACCGUAUAUUGGUGAACACACACAAGCAUUACAACAUGUUGAUGCCAGAAAUGCACAGAGAAAGUAUGAUAAAGAGUUUAUAGAAUGGUUUGAAAGUCAUGUUACUGAACUAUAUAAUGAAGGAAGCAAUGAAGUUGACAAACAACUAUUAGAUUUAGCUCGAGGUCCAUCACAAGAAGUAAUAUAUACUACCAAAGGAUAUAUUGUUAAUGGUUUUAGGUUUUGUAUAAAGGUUGUUGAUGAUUUAAGAAAAACACAAAAUAGUGGAGUAGUAGUGAGAGGAACUGACAAUUUGGUGUGUUGCAUGAAAUUAUUGAAUUGCAGUAUAUGGGAGGAAAUAAUGUUGUUUUGUUUAAAUGUAAAUGGUGGGAUAUCAAUAGUCGUGGUAAAGGAAUUAGAGUUGAUGAUCAUGGACCGACUAGUGUGAAUAUGACCUACACAUUUGAUAUUGGCAUGUCAAUCUGAACAAGUUAUUUACCUUGAAGAUAGAAGAAAUCCAACUUGGUAUUUUUUGUUGAAGGUUGAUCCAAGAGAUUAUUACAAGAUCCUUGUAAUCAAAGAUGCAGAUUGUCAAGAAGAAGAUGACGAUGAAGGAAUUUAAUGUUGAUAAUUGUUUGGUGAUGGUGACUUCUUUUUGAAUUACUUCUUGUUAUUUGGUAUUAUGAACCUUGUAUUAAUGAUUUUCCUAAGCGAUUGCCCAAUUAUAUGACUUUAUUAAUAUGUUUAGAAAAUUAUUUGAAUUGAAUAUUAUGUACUGCUUAUUUGUUAGAGACUGACUUGUAGAA